ACACCCGUAGCUCAGUUGGUUAGAGCACUACCUUGACAUGGUAGGGGUCGGUGGUUCGAGUCCACUCGGGUGUA
rfam:Shewanella denitrificans OS217, complete genome.